rnacentral:lncRNA from 1 species
CAGAAAGGUCGCUGGGCGGGGACACCAAGGCCUUCGGAAGGCUCUGGUUCUGCUGCUCACUGCCUGUGUGACCUGAAGAAAACCAUGUGCCCUCCCUGGCCACAGGUGACAAUAGGAGGCGCGGUGAGAAGAGCCUGCAGGCUCCCAGCCUUCGCAUGGCUCGCCUCCCUCCCAGCAGCUCAGUGACGGGCUUGGGGGAGGCCCCAUGGAAUUCAGCAGCCGUGAGGCGCUUUCUCUCGGGAGUCGCAAAGCCUUUCGCAAAACCAGAGAUGGGUGUUUCCUACCUGCCAAGGAGAGAGGAGCAUCGUGGAGCCGAGGACCUCUGUCCCCCUGUCCCCUGGGGUCAGGGGGCUGGGAAGCAUCCUUGCUGUCCACCGGCUGCACAUGCAGCAUAGGUAAGUUCCCAGGCUAGGGGUCUAAUUGGAGCUGCGCCGCCAUCCUGCACCACAGCCACAGCAACUGGGGAUCCGAACUGCAACUAUGACCAACACCACAUCUCACGGCAAUGCUGGAUCCUUAACCCACUGUACUGGGCACAGAACCUGCAGCCCAGUGCCCCCCAAGAGGCUGCUGAUCCCCUCGUGCCACAGAGGGAGCUUCAGAGUCACCCUUUAUGCAUGAUCCAGUGCCUGGUUCUCCCUGGAAGGAAGCUGGAGUCCCGGUGUGAGCAGGUGUGGAGGCAGAGGCUGUGGUGAUGCAGCUGAUGGCAGGAUCUGGCUCCAAGGCUGGGCCCCGGCUGAUCUGACGCCCUGAGAAGCCCUUGGGAGGUUGGAGGCAUAUCGACAGACGCUUUAUCAUUUUGAGCAUUAAAAACUUAGAUUUGUUAUAUAUGAAAUAUUCAUAAGUUGGCCCAGUUUCACAUUUUAUUGAUUGAUGCUGAGAAAUCCGCGUUUCAGCAACACGAGUCAUGGCUACCAGAAGAAGACCUUGUUAGGGAAUUGGCUUUGCUGGGGUCUCAGACCGCAGCUCCCCUCACAUCAGAGAGCAUCUCAUCUUCACCGGCUCCGAGAGCAAAGGCCGGUCCUCAUGCCCCACCAGGGCCGAGCCGCCUCCCCGCGGGGGGAGCUUGGUGCAGGAACACCCCGUGGAGCAGAGGCCCCGGUGUUGGGUCCAGGCCCCCAGGCCAGUCCUCAGCCCUGCUGCCCCAUCAGAGCGGCGAGGCUGAGCCCACGCACUGGAGCUGCUGGACCGUUCCCGGUGGCCCCAGAGGAGGCGCCGAGGUUCCCCAUCUUCGCGAGAGGACGUGGAGCCCUGAGUCGCUCAGUCAACGAGCGAAUACGCGUCCUCUGCCUGAAACUGCCAAGGGCUUUGUCCCCAGCCAGCCUCGGCACCAGGCUCCUCAAAGGAAACAUCAUGCCUCCAGCCCAGUGUUAAGAUGGAACGAAUGAAACCUACAGUCUGACCGGUCCAGGAGCCCUUGGAAUAUCUCAUUCUACAGACACAAUCCCCCAUGAGCAAUCUGGGUGCCUUUCUCCCCUGAGCAAUCCAACCAACGGGCACAAAAUCCUCCACUAGGAAUAAGCUGGCCACUACAGAGCAAGAGAAAUUAAUUUUUAAAAAAUUAGCAAACAUUAACUAUGAUCUAACAAGAGGGAUGCCUGAACUCCUCGUUCCACCAUGAGUGUUCCCUGUCUGCUAUUUAGCCUCAGUCGUAUGUUGAAUCCAGUCCCCACGCCCAAAGAUAUGGCCACGCUCUGACCCCAGGAACCUGUGCGGGCGGUCUUAUUUGAAAAAGGGGUCCUCCAGAUGUAAUGAAACUAAGGAUCUUGAGAGCAGCUCAUCCUGGAUUACCUGAGUGGGACAAAGUGAGACAAAGAGGGGAAGGUCCUGUGAAGAUGGAGCCGAGAUUGGAGUGACAGAGCCAUAAGCCGCAUCGUGCCUGCGGCCCCCAGAAGCUGGAGGAGGCAAAGAACCGAACCUCCGUGAGAACCUCUGGAGGGAGGCCAGCCCUGUGGACAUCUUGACUUUGCACUUGGCCCUCCAGGUCUGCGAGAGGCUAGAUUCCCAUUGUUUGAAGCCACCAAGCUGUCGUGAUUUGUUGCAGCAGCCCCAGGAAACGAAUCCAUCACUUUACAUGGGAAGGCUCAUGAUUUCAGGGACUCCCACCUCUGAUUCUAGGAGGGGCCCCCAAGUCCUCCCGGCAGCGCUGGCCGUCCACCGUUGUCCUCCUUCCCUCCCUGUCCCCUGUGUCCCCACAGCUCCUAGGUGGAGAAGUGUUUUACACGGUAGAGGCAUCUUGUGUUGAGCUUACUUACGUUUGGUCUUCGGCCUUUUCCAACAUCUGGGCGUGGCCAGUGUCGUCCCCAGCUCUCCUUGGUCACCAUGACUAGGUAAACUGCUUUAUUGGUACAGAGACCUUGACUGGAGGAGUUUCAGCAUUAAAAAAGAGGCGUUUCUUCUAUAGAUAAAUAGUGCCCAAGGGCCAGAAACACAGUAGACCUUACAAAGGACCAAGAGCAGACGCCGAUAAGCCUCGAUAAGACUCAGACCGCAGCAGUACUUGAUGGCUUAGUUCCCCCAGUGCCCCCUCAGUUCCUCUCUAACCCAGCUCUCCUUGCCUGUCAGCUGAUGGCCACCCACACCCAGAACAUCAGUUCAGCCUCCUGAUCUGCCUUACCUCCAUCCAGGUAAGCAGCUGACAGUGGGUGCCAUUCAUCCCAAUUUCAAAUUCUUGGGAGAGGAGUUCCCUGGUGGCUCAGCGGGUUAAGGAUCUGGUGUUGUCACUGCUGUGGCUCGGGUGCCUGCUCUGGUGAAGGUUUGAUCCUUGAGACCCAAUAGACAAGAUCACGUGGUAUAAGGAUGGCCACUGGGCCCACUGGGGGUGGUGAGAGGGUCUCAGUGAAGGGCCUGGGUUCGUUCCACAUAGCAAAGUAGCCCAAGAGGACCAGACAGUGAAGGCUGCUUCUCUGGAGAAAGGGCAACCCUUGGAAUUCCUGUCGUGGUGCAGCAGAGACAAAUCUGACCGGUAUCCAUGAGGAUGCAGGUUUAACCCCUGGCUUUGCUUAGUGGGUUAAGGAUCUGGCAUUGCCGUGAGUUGUGGUGUAGGUCACAGAUGAGGCUCAGGUCCAGCAUCGCUGUGGCUGCGGUGUAGGCCAGCAGCUACAGCUCCGAUUCAACCCCUAGCCUGGGAAUCUCCACAUGCUGUGAGGUCAGCCUAAAAAGCAUUAAAAAAAAAAAAAGGGUGCAGCCCUUGCAAGAAGGGGCCGUCUCGGGGGUCAUCCUCGUCCUGCAGCUCCGCCCACACAGGUCACCGUGUGGCUCUUCACUCCCCACAACCUUUCUUCUCACUUGUCCCCUAACUGGGUUUACACACGCAUAAUUACUGUUAGACGGGUGACCUUGGGCCUGCUUGGCUCUCUGCAUCCCUGUGUGCCGCCAGCACCCCCAGUCGGGUAGAGCAUCUUUUAGGGAGGGCCUCCUCUCCAUGUUCCCCACCCCACCUCCUUCCCCAUCUUGGGGCCCGGGGACAAACAGGAAAGAUGCAGGGCACUGAGCCCACCACACCCCUCCCUCAUGGAGGGGUCGGGGCUCGUUCUGGGGUGACUUCUGAGUAUUCAUGCCUGGUCACUCACUUUCACUUUCCCUUCAUAUGCCACCAAGGUCAGAACGAAGGUGACUGCCCUGGCUGGGCACUGAUGGCACAUUCCUUGCUGCUGAGGGCCCUUGAAGGAAAAGUAUUCCCGUUUUGUGUAUGGGCGUAGGUGUGUAGCUACUCACAUAGCACCAAAAUCCAACCCCCAGUUUCCAGGGAAGGGUGAGAAGCACAAAUAGCAAACAGGGGGAAAGAGGAACCUUGUGCCCUGGUGGCUCAGGUGGGUCUCUGAUUCCCUCUCAGCCCUCGCCUGCGUCAUGGUCGGCUGCCCCCGGAUAAUGGAAUUUGAAAGUGCCUCCCAAGCGAAGGGCAGAGCAGCACCCUGUUAGGUCUGAAAAAUGAAUAAUGAUGAACCCCAGGCUUAGUCCUGGUUGGAUAAGGAUAAAUAAAAUUAAAAAUUG